AGUUGGAAUUGAGAAUUCAGAAAACAUGAUAGAGAAGGAACAGGAAGAAACCAUUUGGACAUCCAAAAAUAAAAGGCCAGGAUCUCACUUUGUUGCCCAGGCUGGUGGUCUCUAACUCCUGGACUUAAGCAAUCCUCCCGCCUCAGCCUCCCAAAGUGCUGGGAUCACAGGGUCCAGGUAAUGGAGCAGAGACUGGAGCAGAGACAAGUUGUUCCCACUGAGCUCUCCUCAGAUUACAGAUUGGUCUGAUUAUAAAAGGAGAAUUGGAGGCUUACCAAACAUCUGAAGAGCUUUCCAGAAGUUUGGUCACUUCUGAAUUAGAGAAGUUAAAACCCAAUCACCUACUAAUGCUGUGGGAAAGUUCUGCAGGUGAUACAUCACAGGGGCUCAUGAAUGUGUCUUAAGCUGGGUCAUUGAAGUGGAAUGUUUUCACAAGACCUCCUCCACUUGCUACUGUGUCCGGAAUUGGUGGGUUCUUGGUCUCACUGACUUCAAGAAUGAAGCCGCGGACCCUCGCGGGAGUGGCAAAUCAAAGGCAUUGCAGCCUCUUUCAUCACUGCCGAUUGCUGAUGCCAACCAUGUGCCAAGUGCUUAAUACGUCACCUUAAAUCUUCUCAUCCACCCUCAGAGGAGCUGCAGCAUCAACCCAGUGCCCUGACUUUCAAGACGACUAUGAAAACACCCCAACUGCUGCUAAAUUACCAGCAACAAGGAUCUGGCAUUCUUAUUCAAAAGAAAGAACACCGAAAUUGACCUUACCCUGACAAUAUGAUGGCUGAAGGAUUUAUGAUCACUUAUAACAUUUGAAAUUGAGGCGGAACCUGAAGAAUAAGACUCUGGUGAAAGGUCCUAUUUAUGCUUUUGAUGUCUUUCACUUGGACAUUUACCACAUGCCUAUUGGUAGGUUUGUUACAUAGGUCAGUUAAGGUGAUACAAGAAUAAAUAAAACACUAUCCCUAUCCUUUAAUAUCAUUUAUUUAUGGGGUCAAUCACAGAUUUUCAUUUUUCAAAAUCUUUGAUAAAUGUCAGAAUUAUGUUUUUUAAUAUUUUUACAGAAUUAUUACAAUAUAUGGUAGAGGAUGGAAGGCAAGGUAGUAUGAAACGGAAAAGAUAUUUUGAAUUAAGGUAUUUGGACCUGGAUUAAUAUUUUUGCUUUGGUCUUUAUUAGCUGAGUGACCUUGAGAAAGUUCUUCUACUAAAAAAGAACAAAGAUAAUAAUUACUUCAUGAAAUUGCUGUAAAAAACACAUAACAAGUAUAUCCAGACUCAACAGUGUAUGCUCAAAAAUGCAGAUCCUUUUUCCCUUACCUGCAAAUAAAGUCUUACAGUAAUACAGUGGGGGUAAAGGUUUAAACUGGUGGAUUCAAGAAGGGCUAUAGAAAGAGGUAGCAUCUUAAUAGGGGAAGGAGAGGAUCCAAGAAAUCAGAUCCAUUUUCUACAAAAAGAAAUGGGAAGACAGAUAAUUCAAGAAGAAAAGUUUACAUGAUUAAAGACCCGAAGUUAGAAAUAGUGAUGUGUCUCAAUAGUAAGUUAGGAAUUGGGGUGGACACAAUUGUUGGAAGAAGGAUGGUUUCAGCAAAGGCCCAAGUUAGGUGACAAUUUCAAGUGUUUGUGAAGAUAUAUGAACAAAAUUAUAAAGUAGUUAGGGUAUAAGAAAUAGGGAGGAGGGAAUGAAUUAACAUUUAUGGAGUGUCUUGCAUGUUCCAAGCACUGUACUACUUGCCUUAUAAACCUUUCUUCAAUAAACGCCUACAACAAU
rnacentral:lncRNA from 10 species